GGGUCAGUAGGUUGGUCGUGCCACCGGUACGUACUGGUCUCACUGAUUCCUUCUUCCUGAAGAACCGUAAUGCCAUUAAUUUGGUGUUGCGGGGAAACAGGGCUGUUACUUUGAAAAAAUUAGAGUGUUUAAAGCAAGCUAACGCUUGAAUACAUUAGCAUGGAAUAAUGAAAUAGGACGAUCGAUCCUAUUUUGUUGGUUUCUAGGAUUGACGUA
rnacentral:rRNA from 1 species